rnacentral:rRNA from 1 species
GUUGAACGCUGGCGGCAUGCCUUACACAUGCAAGUCGAACGGCAGCACGGACUUCGGUCUGGUGGCGAGUGGCGAACGGGUGAGUAAUGCAUCGGAACGUGCCAUUGAGUGGGGGAUAACGUAGCGAAAGUUGCGCUAAUACCGCAUAUUCUGUGAGCAGGAAAGCAGGGGACCGCAAGGCCUUGCGCUCUUUGAGCGGCCGAUGUCAGAUUAGCUAGUUGGUGAGGUAAGGCUUACCAAGGCGACGAUCUGUAGCGGGUCUGAGAGGAUGAUCCGCCACACUGGAACUGAGACACGGUCCAGACUCCUACGGGAGGCAGCAGUGGGGAAUUUUGGACAAUGGGGCAACCCUGAUCCAGCCAUGCCGCGUGAGUGAAGAAGGCC